UACGAAGGGGGCUAGCGUUGCUCGGAAUCACUGGGCGUAAAGCGCACGUAGGCGGACUCUUAAGUCGGUGGUGAAAUCCUGGAGCUCAACUCCAGAACUGCCUUCGAUACUGGGAGUCUCGAGUCCGGGAGAGGUGAGUGGAACUGCGAGUGUAGAGGUGAAAUUCGUAGAUAUUCGCAAGAACACCAGUGGCGAAAGGCGGGCUCACUGGCCCGGUAUUGACGCUGAGGUGCGAAAGCGUGGGGGAGCAAACAGG
rnacentral:rRNA from 1 species